rnacentral:rRNA from 1 species
AUGGCGGAGACAAGAAGCUCGCAGGGGAGGCAGGAAAAAGAGGCAGCGGAGGAUCUGCUUGCCAGGCUAACGCUGCAGGAGGAGGAGGAAGAUGAGUUCAUAUGGGAGGAGGAGCUGCCGGACAUGGCGGAACCGGCGAGAUGGCUGGCGAUCGCCCACGUGCAUACACCAAAGACCUUUAGCCCUAACGCGUUGUACAACGACAUGCGAGCGGCAUGGAACCCUGCCAAACAGGUAGUAUGGAGGAAGGUGAAAACCAAUCUGUUCACGGCGCAGUUCGGAUGCUUGGGCGACUGG